AGAGUUUGAUCAUGGCUCAGGAUGAACGCUAGCUACAGGCUUAACACAUGCAAGUCGAGGGGAAACGACAUCGAAAGCUUGCUUUUGAUGGGCGUCGACCGGCGCACGGGUGAGUAACGCGUAUCCAACCUGCCCACCACUUGGGGAUAACCUUGCGAAAGUAAGACUAAUACCCAAUGAUAUCUCUAGAAGACAUCUGAAAGAGAUUAAAGAUUUAUCGGUGAUGGACGGGGAUGCGUCUGAUUAGCUUGUUGGCGGGGUAACGGCCCACAAGGCGACGAUCAGUAGGGGUUCUGGAGAGGAACGGUCCCCCANAUUGGAACUGAGACACGGUCCAAACUCCUACGGGAGGCA
rnacentral:rRNA from 1 species